rnacentral:rRNA from 1 species
GGCCUUCGGGUUGUAAACCUCUUUCAGCAGGGAAGAAGCGCAAGUGACGGUACCUGCAGAAGAAGCGCCGGCUAACUACGUGCCAGCAGCCGCGGUAAUACGUAGGGCGCAAGCGUUGUCCGGAAUUAUUGGGCGUAAAGAGCUCGUAGGCGGUUUGUCGCGUCUGGUGUGAAAACUCGAGGCUCAACCUCGAGCUUGCAUCGGGUACGGGCAGACUAGAGUGCGGUAGGGGAGACUGGAAUUCCUGGUGUAGCGGUGGAAUGCGCAGAUAUCAGGAGGAACACCGAUGGCGAAGGCAGGUCUCUGGGCCGCAACUGACGCUGAGGAGCGAAAGCAUGGGGAGCGAACAGGAUUAGAUACCCUGGUAGUCCAUGCCGUAAACGUUGGGCACUAGGUGUGGGGCUCAUUCCACGAGUUCCGUGCCGCAUCAAACGCAUUAAGUGCCCCGCCUGGGGAGUACGGCCGCAAGGCUAAAACUC